GGGAAGCCAUGAAAAUUCACUAAAUGGCACACCUCGAUUCUAAUUUUAAAGAAUGUUCGAACUACUUUUGAGGGCCAUAGCAUAUGAUUUUUGUUUAUGUAUGGCACAACUCGAAUUUCCUAUAAGAACUACCAAGAAAAAAGUCUGAAAUGCAUGAAAAUUGACCCAGGGUAUUAGUCAUUCUAAUAUGCCAUGGAAAUGGAAUGGGUAACAGAACAUAACUUAAAUAACAAAAAAGAGGUGCAACCUCAAAUAGCUAUGGAAAUAAAGAUAAACAGCAAAACGAGAUAACAUUAACUUUUGGGGUACCUCAGGAUUUAAUAUACACAAGAACAAACCAAACUGUUGCUUCAAAUCCUUCCUUAUCAGCAACAAUAUUAGGCAUGACACACAUUAUAUAUAAGCAUAACCAACAGGCUCUAACUAAAGAUAAUUAGCUCUUCAAUACAUGGCUUUUCACUCAAUUAUUCAAGUAGUUCCCAACCAGUUUCAAACUAAAGAAAAUGCUACUAAACCCAACAUGAUCAAACAAAUAACAACAACAUCUCUAAUUGAAGGCAAAGAAAACAGUUCAAAAGUAUCAAAUACAAGCCGGAAAUGAGUCGGAAUCUCAUAACUGGACAAGCUUCAGUCAAACAUGCCAAACAAUGAAAUUCAGUAAAAUUCACGAGAAAUCGGCAGCACGGAUUAGUACAUUAACUAGCUCACAAACAUCUUCCGUUAAUAAACAAGGAGGAACCUAGUUAUAUUCAAUUAUCCUAAGAACUCAACAUGUGUACCAAGCCGAUUUAGAGAACUCACAAUAGAUCAAAGUUUGAUUAGAACUUCCACCUUAGUGAUAACUAAUAGUCUCGAUACUUAUUUUCAAGAAAAUUUAAGCAUUCAACACGCGAGUUGGUCCCUCAAACAGUUAACCAUAACCUGAAUGCUUCAGUUCUGAUUUCUCACUUUCAAACACAUCCAGCCAACCAUAGAGAAUAUCUGAUGGCAAGAACAGAUCGACAAGUAUCUCUUUCGAGCGCAAAUCGCAACUAGCAGCCAAUUCCAGACCUAAACUCUACUGAUUCAUUCAUAGAAUCCAACUCUAACAUAGCAUCAAACGCAAACAAGAAUUAUUCACAAACAGAAUUGAUCCAGCCUAGAUGACGAUAUUCAAAAUCCAGAUAACCAAUUAACGCAGUUUAAUAAAGAAUGUCGACCAAACCAACACAAAUACCACAAUCCAUCGCAAACAAAACAAUGAGAAGAGAAAGCAUCCACAAACAGAAUUGAUCUAGCCUAAAUGAUGAGACUCAAAAUCCGGAUAAUCAAUUAAAGCAAUUUAAUAAAGAAUGUUGACCAAACCAACACAAACACCAUAAUCCAUCGCAAACAAAACAAUGAGAAGAGAAAGAGCUUAGUUGAACCUGUUGAGUCAAAAUUCUUUAAGGUUUUGAGAAUCCGUAGAUACGAACUUUUGAGUUCAAAUUUCAGACGAAAUCGAGCAUCCAAAAAUGGAAAAUGGAGCUGAACAAAUACAAAUGAACCCGACCCAGCAACGAGGCUCGAACUGAGGUCAUCCUCGAUCAAAUUCCAGCAGAAUCCAUGCUUAUCAACAAUGGCUAAAUCAAACAGGAACCACAGGCAAAAUAGAGACCUCAAACCGGAAACCUCGUCGAAUUCGGAACAGGCUGCCUUCAAUGGUGACUCCACACUACCCAAACUCAAAAUUAGCUGCAAAUCUGUUUGUGUGUAUGCGUCUUUUCUCCGACGUGAAGGAGAUGGAGUAAGGUCCAAUGGUAGUUGUUCGUGUAUUUUUUCAGAAGAAGCCAAGCUGUCAGCCCUUCUUUAAAAUUUUCUAGGCGCCCCUCCCUCUGUGUUGUUUUGCUGUAUAUGCGUCUCUACUGUAUCUCUAUAUUGUGUAUUGUGUGUAUUGUAUUGUGUGUGUGUUUUUGUGAAGAAGCCAAGCCGUCAGCCCUUCCCCCAUUCCGAGGCGUCUCUGCGUAUCUCUCUUCUCUAUCGUGUGUAUGCUUGUAUAUUUUAACGUGUAUUAUGUGUGUGUAUUUUUCAGAAGAAUAGCAAAGCGGCGCAACCUUCAAUUUCCA
rnacentral:lncRNA from 1 species